rnacentral:lncRNA from 1 species
GUAGAAGAUCUGUAGAGGUGCCUGGGGGGAUUGAGGUAGCAGACCUGUAGGGGUGCCUGGGGGAUUGAGGUAGCAGAUCUGUAGGGGUGCCUGGGGGGAUUGAGGUAGCAGAUCUGUAGGGGUGCCUGGGGGAUUGAGGUAGAAGAUCUGUAGGGGUGCCUGGGGGAUUGAGGUAGCAGAUCUGUAGGGGUGCCUGGGGGAUUGAGGUAGAAGAUCUGUAGGGGUGCCUGGGGGGAUUGAGGUAGCAGAUCUGUAGGGGUACCUGGGGGAUUGAGGUAGCAGAUCUGUAGGGGUGCCUGGGGGAUUGAGGUAGCAGAUCUGUAGGGGUGCCUGGGGGAUUGAGGUAGAAGAUCUGUAGGGGUGCCUGGGGGGAUUGAGGUAGCAACUCUGUAGGGGUGCCUGGGGGAUUGAGGUAGAAGAUCUGUAGGGGUGGUGCCUGGGGGGAUUGAGGUAGCAGAACUGUAGGGGUGCCUGGGGGAUUGAGGUAGCAGAUCUGUAGGGGUGCCUGGGGGGAUUGAGGUAGCAGAUCUGUAGGGGUGCCUGGGGGGAUUGAGGUGGCCGUUUCUAUCUCCCACCAUUCACUAUGAAGACAUUUUGUAGAGCACUUGUUUCCCCGCAGACUAAAAGCUUUAAAUAAAAUGAUAAAUGGGAAUCGACUGGUUUUUAGCUGUGGUCAUAUUUGAGCCCUCAGUGUCUUUCUGAAAAACAGACUGUUCAGGGACGAUUCAAUAGUCAUGUACACUGAAC